UACGGAGGGUGCAAGCGUUGUUCGGAUUUACUGGGCUUAAAGGGUGUGUAGGCGGGUCGACAAGUGUCUGGUGAAAGCCCCGGGCUCAACCCGGGAACGGCUGGGCAUACUGACGAUCUUGAGGCAGGUAGAGGUCACUGGAACAACUGGUGGAGCGGUGAAAUGCGUAGAUAUCAGUUGGAACGCCGGAGGCGAAAGCGGGUGACUGGGCCUGUCCUGACGCUGAAACACGAAAGCGUGGGGAGCAAACGGGAUUAGAUACCCCGGUAGUCCACGCCGUAAACGAUGCGCACUGGGUAUGAUGGGUUUUGACGCCCGUCGUGCCGCAGCAAAAGUGCUAAGUGCGCCGCCUGGGGAGUACGGCCGCAAGGCUA
rnacentral:rRNA from 1 species